UGGGGGAUAUUGCGCAAUGGGGGCAACCCUGACGCAGCAACGCCGCGGGAAGGAUGAAGGUUUUCGGAUUGUAAACUUCUUUUAUUAAGGACGAAACUUGACGGUACUUAAUGAAUAAGCUCCGGCUAACUACGUGCCAGCAGCCGCGGUAAUACGUAGGGAGCAAGCGUUGUCCGGAUUUACUGGGUGUAAAGGGUGCGUAGGCGGCUUUGCAAGUCAGAUGUGAAAUCUAUGGGCUCAACCCAUAAACUGCAUUUGAAACUGUAGAGCUUGAGUGAAGUAGAGGCAGGCGGAAUUCCCCGUGUAGCGGUGAAAUGCGUAGAGAUGGGGAGGAACACCAGUGGCGAAGGCGGCCUGCUGGGCUUUAACUGACGCUGAGGCACGAAAGCGUGGGUAGCAAACAGG
rnacentral:rRNA from 1 species